CACGACAACUGCCUACAUGUACGACUACUACCAGGGCAACCAACUAUGCUCGCAUGAAUAAAUCAUUCCUGUGAGAGAAGGGGUGUAAUAUCUCCAGAUGGGCAUGUGGUACCCUUCCUUACCCAUGCCAACAAGAUGUUACUCUUGUGGGGUAUUUGCCUUGACAUUUGCUGAAUGUGUUCUGAAAGAGGAGUCGAUUGUCUUUUCAAAUACGGACAAAGAUGUUAACAUCAUGAGAGAAGAAAUAGCAGUCACUCUCCUCCAAAACACUGAUGACCUGUGCUAACUGUGCCACUUCUGUGGGGAGGUGGACAAUAAUGAGGAAGACACUAACAGGAUUGGUUGUGACUGCUGCCCACGAUGGUUCCACCAGUCCUGUAUGAAAACCAUCCCAUCAUUGGAGGAUUAUGUCUGUGCUGCCUGUCAGGACUAGGUUAGGGUUGAGUUCCAGGCGACGAUAUCACCUGGAAAACUUUCCAUAAAAAGUGGACUAAAUGUUCAGUCGA